rnacentral:lncRNA from 1 species
UGCUGCCCUCCCGGUUCCCGCAUCCUUCUCGUCCAGCGGUCCGCGCCCGGAGCAGAGCCACAAGGGCAGAGGAGUCGGCGGCUUUAGGGAAGGCGCGGCGCAGCGCUGCGGCGCCCAGCCCACGGCUCAAGCCACCUGAGCCCGAGAGUGGCCAGUAGUCAGACAGCCUGCAGGAUCAGCUCGGCCUCCGCCAGCAGCAACACAGGGCCUUUGAGGAAGAGAGAGAGUGAGGGGCAGACAGACCAGGCUGUUGGGCCGAGUUUGAGCAAGAAGCCUCUUCCUUCUCCAAGGUUUCCCAAAGGAGAGCAGAAAUAGGUCAAGGGCAGCCCAAGCAGCCACUUUCACUCUCCGCCC